GAUGAUUAAAAAUAAUGAUAAUAAAAUAACUAAAAAGAACAAAACAUUUUUUUUCCUGUGGUGAGGUAAAUAUGUCUAUUUACAUAUAGCUAUCACUGCUAAUGUCCCUGCCUCUGAAGAGAACCUUAAAGUAAUGGAAAAUAUGUUAAAGCUAAAUGUUGUUUCAUAGAAUUUAAAAAGAAAACAAAGAAAUAAAACCAUGGUAGACUAUAGAUAAGCGGAAGAGGAUGGAAGAAUGGAUAUAGCAAUAACAAAAGGCCAAAAGAUUAGUUAGAUUAGAAAAAUAGCUGCUAUUUACACAUGUCAGGGGUAGCAGAGGGUCUAACGGUGCUUUAUAUAGCAACUUAAUGGUUUGAAAAUCAUUUCCCCCAGGUAAGAGACACCCUCAGACUCCUUUGCGAGUUAAAUCUUGCAAACUCCAUUUUUGUCGCUUGUAACGAAUGAUGAAACCACAGCCUCUCUGUCAGAAUGAAUAACUGAACAGCUCUUAAAGAUUCAUGAGGCCGAACAAGAAUAGAUGAACAAAUUAGCCUGUUUUUUUUUUUUAACAGUGUCUUUGACAGGGUCUGCAGCCAUUUUGGCUCUGGUGGUGUUGAGAACAGGAUGUUGCCUUCGUGGAUAUCUCUUCUCCCUCAGCCCUUCCUUCUGUGUUUCCAUCCCCCGGUACUUCUCAGUGCAAACUUAGGUUUAGAUGACAGUGAGAAUGUGCGUAGCGAUUGUGGAUGGUGUUAUUGUGUAAACAUCGAUUUCAAAUUGUAAGCGUCGAUGAAGGUGUGUUUUCAUUUUUUGACCUUCUUCUCCUUCUUCCCUCUUUACCGUCCUCGUGGCCCCCUCUCCCGUCCCCCGCCCCCGUCUUCUUUCUUCAUCUCCUCGUUGUCCCUGUUCACAGUAUUAGGCUGGAAUAUGGUUGUGCGGUAGUAGACACGUGUUCACUGUGACUGGUGAGUAAGUGUUGUUGUCUUAUGAUGUGUUGCUCCUCGUGAUACCAUCAAACACGGAGCAGUGAUUAGAUCAUUGGAGACAAAAGAUGAAAGGAAGGGGUGACCCAGGUUCCCUGAAAAUCAAAACAAACAAACAAAAUAACAAAAAAAAAAAAAACACUGGUUCUCAUUUUUCACACACCCAUUCCUUAAAAUAAAAAUGUCUGGAACUUUUCCCUCUCUGCACAGUGCCACUCUGGGAUCUUUCUCUGCGUGUGAAACUCUGUGAACUGUACUGUACGUACUUUCUCUUGAUGAUAUCUUGACACAAUUUAACUUGCAAAUGCAGAAAAGAGGUUGGGUUGUUGCAGAGCCGUGACUAAACGCCUAUACGCUCGCUUUCUGCCUACUGAGGUACACUGAGUCAUCUUGACAAGGAGGUAGUCCAUUCAUUAAAAACCUGACACCUCCAGCUGAUCGGGGUUGGAACGAAGCACUUGUGUCUAUUCAAGCUCCAAAAGCUUGCUUCAAGCUAGAUGCUGUUAAAAAAAAUGUCCUGCAUCUUAAAUUUCCUAGCAGAGAUUUGCUUUCAAAGGUUUUAUUGGUAUGCUAAACUGAUUAAAAAAAAGACACUUCUCCAAAAAAAAAAAUCCUCAGCAGCUCUCCUCAAAAAGGCUGCAGCACACAACACAGCUUUGCAGCUGAGCCGCUGCCUGCCUGACUCUGACUGACAGACUCUCUGUGUUUGUAGAUACCAGUGGAGGCGAGCUUGAUUCAUCUCCUCUGCCACGAUUCUUGAGAAAGUAGGCUGAGAUAUCCCCCGCUCCCUCCGCUGGUUUGUCCUUGCCUGCGGUUGGUACACCGUAGUCUAGACGUCCCAUUUACAGCAGGAGCAGAAGCAACCUCACCGUUAGCGUACCUUCCACUGAGGAAACUCUUCAAAGACCCACAACAAAACAAGACGAAAAAAACCCUUUGGACACACACCACAGUCGUGGCGUCAAGCCUGAAUUAUUCAUAUUUGGGUUUUUUGGUGUGUGUCCCAUUGUUUCCAUUCCAUUAGCACACUGAGGGAAGCUUUCCUUUAAACGCUUUAAGCGGUUUUCUUACAAUUUUGGCCACAACAACAUCAAAAGAACCAUAUUAGUCGUAUCUUCAGGACUACAUUUCUACAUUUUUGUCUCCUGUCAUUUCUGAUUCCAUGUUAGCUCUAAAUAAAUCCAUCUCUUGCUCCGCGUCCUACAGCUGCUGGUUUUGAUUGGAUUAGACUUGAGAUUUAUCAGAGCUGAGACGAGCAGUAAUAGGAUGACAGAGGAGCGAGCCUGGCUUGAUUGGGUGAUUACUUGGCUUAUUAGUACCAUUUCCAUAACGGGCCUCUCAGACAGAGUGUCAUGCAAAUAGACUUUUAGCUGUUUAACAGCAUCAGUGUCAGACAGAGAUAUGACCUGUGAUGAGUUUCUCAGGCAAAGAGGCGGUGAUGCAAACAAUCGCUGUCGCCUGAUAUAAGUGAGCAUGCUGCAGAGCUUUGCUGAAACACUUUAGAGCACCUCAGACAGACAAAUGCUUCAUCUUAACCUUGACCAGACCCCCACCCACCCCCCAACAGACACACACACACAAACAAAAUCACCUCCAUUUCCUUCUGUGUGACAAUACUGACCCCCAGUGGUCACUGUGAGUAUAGGAAACAAAUCCUGAUGACUGUUGUACCAAAGCAACAGCUCGGGGUCUCAAGCAGGUAAGCGAGAAAAUUGACUGUUAGCUUCAUAAGUCAGUGCUUCACUGAUUUCCUUAUAGCCAUAGCGUGACCCCUGUCUUGGCACUGGGUGUGUUUCUGCCUGCAGUGGGAGCAGGAGAGGCCUCCAUCUCAUCAAAAAGCAAACUGCUCUAAGUCUGGAGAUUACACACUUAAACCCCCACCACCAGUCUCACCAAACCCUCCCCCCAGAAAACUUCACAGCAUUAUUCUUUCUCUGUAUAUGAUUAAGUGCUGCUCAGCAAAAGAUCAGCUACUCUCUAGAGAAGAAAAAAAAAAAAAGUUUCUUUCUUGUGGUCUUAGCAGAUUAAAUCUAUGCAUGCCUUUUAUAUACAGUGAUUGGUCUUGCCAAACUCUCACCUACACUUGUACAGAUAGCCAUGGGUGCCAUCGUUGCUGGCCAUGGGACUGGCUGAAACGACUAACGUGUGUUUUAAUCUGGUACAAGUUAAAGCCAGGGGGCAAAGAGUCACCGGCAUUCACGAAUAUAUAUAUAAAGAAGCAUUUGUUUACUUGGGAUGAUUGUACUUUUACACAUAUCUAUCUUCAAACAGAUGAUCUGCUCUGAUGUGUAAGCUGUUGAUAAAGCUAUUGAUAUUCCAAGCAGGGUGGUGGGACUGAUCAAUCAUGCUGUGUGGGGACAGGAUUGUUAAUGGCAUACUUUCAUUGAUCUAUCUUGAAUCUUGUCACUCUCUCAAAUGGAUCCUUGGAGAAGAAGAACAGGAACUGUACAUAUUAGAUCUAUUAGCCAUAUCAUGUCAUCCAAUCUGUAGACCUCCUUGCCAUGUCUGACAGAGGAAAAUGACUGUUGAACUGUAAAUAGUGUAGGUAUAGUAAAAUAGGAUUUAUCGGCUGUUUCUUCUCUCCGGGGAUCGCCCAUGUUUUGCUCAGUCCCAUGGCUGCUUGGUCUCAAAGGGAAGGAUAAGACAAUAAUGUAUUUGUCUAUAGAACACAUAUGACUUCUUUUUUAAUUUAAAUGUAUGUUUUAUAUACCGUCUGUCUUGUAAAUGAGCUCCUUUUUCGUCAUAAAAGCAUGAUGUGACUCGACUGAAUCCUGUGUGCCUCCCUGUUUUGUGUG
ensembl:lncRNA